UGGGGAAUAUUGGACAAUGGGCGCAAGCCUGAUCCAGCCAUGCCGCGUGAGUGAUGAAGGCCCUAGGGUUGUAAAGCUCUUUUAACGGGGAAGAUAAUGACGGUACCCGUAGAAUAAGCCCCGGCUAACUUCGUGCCAGCAGCCGCGGUAAUACGAAGGGGGCUAGCGUUGCUCGGAAUCACUGGGCGUAAAGGGUGCGUAGGUGGAUCUUUAAGUCAGGGGUGAAAUCCUGGAGCUCAACUCCAGAACUGCCUUUGAUACUGAGGAUCUUGAGUUCGGGAGAGGUAAGUGGAACUGCGAGUGUAGAGGUGAAAUUCGUAGAUAUUCGCAAGAACACCAGUGGCGAAGGCGGCUUACUGGCCCGAUACUGACACUGAGGCACGAAAGCGUGGGGAGCAAACA
rnacentral:rRNA from 1 species